AACGGCCGUACCAUGCUGAAUAUACCGGUUCUAGUCAAGCAUCAUUGGGCGUGGUCAGUACUUGGGUGGGUGACCACCUGGGAACACUGCGUGCCGUU